AUUGAACGCUGGCGGCAGGCUUAACACAUGCAAGUCGAACGAUGACUCUCUAGCUUGCUAGAGAAGAUUAGUGGCGGACGGGUGAGUAACAUUUAGGAAUCUGCCUAGUAGUGGGGGAUAGCUCGGGGAAACUCGAAUUAAUACCGCAUACGACCUACGGGUGAAAGGGGGCGCAAGCUCUUGCUAUUAGAUGAGCCUAAAUCAGAUUAGCUAGUUGGUGGGGUAAAGGCCCACCAAGGCGACGAUCUGUAACUGGUCUGAGAGGAUGAUCAGUCACACCGGAACUGAGACACGGUCCGGACUCCUACGGGAGGCAGCAGUGGGGAAUAUUGGACAAUGGGGGCAACCCUGAUCCAGCCAUGCCGCGUGUGUGAAGAAGGCCUUUUGGUUGUAAAGCACUUUAAGCAGGGAGGAGAGGCUAAUGGUUAAUACCCAUUAGAUUAGACGUUACCUGCAGAAUAAGCACCGGCUAACUCUGUGCCAGCAGCCGCGGUAAUACAGAGGGUGCGAGCGUUAAUCGGAAUUACUGGGCGUAAAGCGAGUGUAGGUGGCUCAUUAAGUCACAUGUGAAAUCCCCGGGCUUAACCUGGGAACUGCAUGUGAUACUGGUGGUGCUAGAAUAUGUGAGAGGGAAGUAGAAUUCCAGGUGUAGCGGUGAAAUGCGUAGAGAUCUGGAGGAAUACCGAUGGCGAAGGCAGCUUCCUGGCAUAAUAUUGACACUGAGAUUCGAAAGCGUGGGUAGCAAACAGGAUUAGAUACCCUGGUAGUCCACGCCGUAAACGAUGUCUACUAGCCGUUGGGGUCCUUGAGACUUUAGUGGCGCAGUUAACGCGAUAAGUAGACCGCCUGGGGAGUACUGCCGCAAGGUUAAAACUCAAAUGAAUUGACGGGGGCCCGCACAAGCGGUGGAGCAUGUGGUUUAAUUCGAUGCAACGCGAAGAACCUUACCUGGUCUUGACAUAGUGAGAACCUCUCAGAGAUGAGAGAGUGCCUUCGGGAACUCACAUACAGGUGCUGCAUGGCUGUCGUCAGCUCGUGUCGUGAGAUGUUGGGUUAAGUCCCGCAACGAGCGCAACCCUUUUCCUUAUUUGCCAGCGGGUUAAGCCGGGAACUUUAAGGAUACUGCCAGUGACAAACUGGAGGAAGGCGGGGACGACGUCAAGUCAUCAUGGCCCUUACGACCAGGGCUACACACGUGCUACAAUGGUAGGUACAGAGGGUUGCUACACAGCGAUGUGAUGCUAAUCUCAAAAAGCCUAUCGUAGUCCGGAUUGGAGUCUGCAACUCGACUCCAUGAAGUCGGAAUCGCUAGUAAUCGCGGAUCAGAAUGCCGCGGUGAAUACGUUCCCGGGCCU
rnacentral:rRNA from 1 species